rnacentral:piRNA from 1 species
UAUCAAUCAAAAGCCCCUUUGGCUCACCUA